UGACAGGUGGGCGAGCGGUCGAAGCCGCGAGACUCAUAAUCUCGUUCCCGGCAACGGGCGCGUUGGUUCAAAUCCAACCCUGUCGACCA
rnacentral:tRNA from 1 species